CCUACGGGUGGCAGCAGUGAGGAAUAUUGGUCAAUGGGCGCGAGCCUGAACCAGCUAAGUAGCGUGAGGGAUGACUGCCCUACGGGUUGUAACCUUCUUUUAUAAGGGCAUACAGUAGGGCUCGUGUACCUUUUUGUAUUUACUUUAUUAUUAAAGAUCGGCUAACUCCGUGCCAGCCGCCGCGGUAAUACGGAGGAUCCGAGCGGUAUCCGGAUUUCUUUGGUUUAAAGGGGGCGUAGGUGGAGUGUUAAGUCAGUUGUGAAAGUUCCGGGCUUAACCGGAGAACGGCAGUUGAAACUGGGGGGCUUGAGUGGGGGAGAGGAAGGCGGAAUGCGUGGUGUAGCAGUGAAAUGCAUAGAUAUCACGAAGAACCCCGAUUGCGAAGGCAGCCUUCUGGCGCGCAACUGACGCUGAGGCACGAAAGUGUGGGGAUCGAACAGGAUUAGAUACCCGUGUAGUC
rnacentral:rRNA from 1 species